rnacentral:siRNA from 1 species
UAGCGGUUGUAGUUAUAUAUCUA